GACGAACGCUGGCGGCGUGCUUAACACAUGCAAGUCGAGCGGUAAGGCCCUUUCGGGGGUACACGAGCGGCGAACGGGUGAGUAACACGUGGGUGACCUGCCCUUAGCUCUGGGAUAAGCCUGGGAAACUGGGUCUAAUACCGGAUAUGACUCCAUGACGCAUGUUGGUGGGGUGGAAAGCCUUGUGCGGCUAGGGAGUGGGCCCGCGGCCUAUCAGCUUGUUGGUGGGGUGAUGGCCUACCAAGGCGACGACGGUAGCCGGCCUGAGAGGCGACCGGCCACACUGGGACUGAGACACGGCCCAGACUCC
rnacentral:rRNA from 1 species